CGGAUUGCACAUGCAGGGCACACGUAGGACUCACAGUUGCACACGCAGAAAACAGGGGAAGCAACUUCAUCAUUUUGAAAUAAAAAGUACGUGCGGUGGGGCCUUUCGCACGUGUGGGAAACAGGUCACUCAUCGGAAGGGACCAUCGCAUGACCGGAUCACUGUAAUCAGCUCUGAGGUCAACCCUAGGUCAGCUUCAGGAAACUUUUGUGGGACCUGUUUUGCUAAGCCUCCAAAAUUGGAGUCUUUUGUCCUUUUGAAGAGUUCCUUGAUGCCACAUUUUAGUUAAGUUUUGGUGACUUUUGUUGAAUACUUAGUUAAUAUGUAAAUUUUGGGUUGUGAACUCUUUAUAUGGCAUGAUUAAUCCUGGCACAUAAGCACUGCUCAAUGGACGUUUUGUUAUUUAUUUUGCGUCCG